AGAGGAAGCCGGUGCGAAUCCGGCGCGGUCCCGCCACUGUCACCGGGGAGCGGUCCCCCACCGCACGUCACGGCCCGCGCGAGCGGGCUGGAAGACCGGGGGAAUCCGCCGAUCCGGAAGCCAGGAGACUC
rnacentral:ncRNA from 2 species